rnacentral:rRNA from 1 species
UGGGGGAUAACGCAUCGAAAGAUGCGCUAAUACCGCAUAAUCUCUAAGGAGAAAAGCAGGGGAUCGCAAGACCUUGCGCUUUUGGAGCGGCCGAUGUCUGAUUAGCUAGUUGGUGAGGUAAAGGCUUACCAAGGCUUCGAUCAGUAGCUGGUCUGAGAGGACGACCAGCCACACUGGGACUGAGACACGGCCCAGACUCCUACGGGAGGCAGCAGUGGGGAAUUUUGGACAAUGGGGGCAACCCUGAUCCAGCCAUGCCGCGUGAGUGAAGAAGGCCUUCGGGUUGUAAAGCUCUUUCAGCCGGAACGAAAAGGUUACGGUUAAUACCCGUGACUAAUGACGGUACCGGAAGAAGAAGCACCGGCUAACUACGUGCCAGCAGCCGCGGUAAUACGUAGGGUGCGAGCGUUAAUCGGAAUUACUGGGCGUAAAGCGUGCGCAGGCGGUUUUGUAAGUCAGAUGKGAAWUCCCCGGGCUUGACCUGGGAACUGCGUUUGAAACUACAAGGCUAGAGUGUGGCANAAGGGGGGUGGAAUUCCACGUGCUAGCAGUGAAAUGCGUAGAAGAUGUGGAGGAACACCGAUGGCGAAGGCAGCCCCCUGGGUUAACACUGACGCUCAGGCACGAAAGCGUGGGGAGCAAACAGGAUUAGAUACCCUGGUAGUCCACGCCCUAAACGAUGUCAACUAGUUGUCGGGUCUUAACGGGCUUGGUAACGCAGCUAACGCGUGAAGUUGACCGCCUGGGGAGUACGGUCGCAAGAUUAAAACUCAAAGGAAUUGACGGGGAUCCGCACAAGCGGUGGAUUAUGUGGAUUAAUUCGAUGCAACGCGAAAAACCUUACCUACCCUUGACAUGUACCGAAGCCCGCCGAGAGGUGGGCGUGCCCGAAAGGGAACGGUAACACAGGUGCUGCAUGGCUGUUGUCAGCUCGUGUCGUGAGAUGUUGGGUUAAGUCCCGCAACGAGCGCAACCCUUGUCAUUAAUUGCCAUCAUUCAGUUGGGCACUUUAAUGAAACUGCCGGUGACAAACCGGAGGAAGGUGGGGAUGACGUCAAGUCCUCAUGGCCCUUAUGGGUAGGGCUUCACACGUAAUACAAUGGCGCGUACAGAGGGUUGCCAACCCGCGAGGGGGUGCUAAUCUCAGAAAGCGCGUCGUAGUCCGGAUCGGAGUCU